GAUGAGAAGCUUCGACUAAGGUUCGACUCGAGCGAAGCGAGAGAACGUUGCCGCAGGCAACGGCCCGAAGGGCGAGGAGAGAUAGCGACGAGUUAUCCUUCCCCCACCACCA
rnacentral:sRNA from 1 species